UUUAGACCGUGAUGAAUGGUCACCCUGGU
rnacentral:piRNA from 1 species